GACGAACGCUGGCGGCGUGCCUAAUACAUGCAAGUCGAACGCAGUGGGGACGGGUGAUUAACACGUGGGUAACCUCCCAUCAGAGGGGAUAACACUUGGAAACAGGUGCUAAACCGAUACUGAUGGAUGGCCCCGCGGUGCAUUAGCUAGUUGGUGGGGUAACGGCUCACCAAGGCCACGAUGCCUAGGCGACCUGAGAGGUGGGUCGGCCACACGGGGACUGAGCCACGGCCCAGACUCCUACGGGAGGCAGCAGUAGGGAAUCGUCGGCAAUGGACGAAAGCCUGACCGAGCAAUGCCGCGGGAGUGAAGAAGGUUUUCGGAUCGUAAAACUCUGUUGUUAGAGAAGCGGUAUCUAACCAGAAAGCAACGGCUAACUACGUGCCAGCAGCCGCGGUAAUUC
rnacentral:rRNA from 1 species